rnacentral:rRNA from 1 species
CACGUAGGGUGCGAGCGUUGUCCGGAAUUAUUGGGCGUAAAGAGCUCGUAGGCGGUCUGUUACGUCUGCUGUGAAAACCCAGGGCUUAACCCUGGGCUUGCAGUGGAUACGGGCAGACUAGAGGCAGGUAGGGGAGAAUGGAAUUCCCGGUGUAGCGGUGGAAUGCGCAGAUAUCAGGAGGAACACCGGUGGCGAAGGCGGGUCUCUGGGCAGUAACUGACGCUGAGGAGCGAAAGCGUGGGUAGCGAACAGG